GAUGUCAAGUAGAAGCCAUCCGCUUCUCACCUUACGACAGGCGUUAGUAAGGUAUCUUCUGGUCCUGAGCUUAGUGUUUGCUUUGUGAUUGUUUAGAAGACGGGUGGUGAUAGACCCGUCUUUUUUGUUGGCU
rfam:Desulfosporosinus orientis DSM 765, complete genome.